rnacentral:rRNA from 1 species
CCUACGGGCGGCAGCAGUGGGGAAUUUUGGACAAUGGGGGCAACCCUGAUCCAGCCAUGCCGCGUGUAUGAAGAAGGCCUUCGGGUUGUAAAGUACUUUUGUUAGGGAAGAAAAGGGAAGUGUUAAUACCACUUUUUGCUGACGGUACCUAAAGAAUAAGCACCGGCUAACUACGUGCCAGCAGCCGCGGUAAUACGUAGGGUGCGAGCGUUAAUCGGAAUUACUGGGCGUAAAGCGAGCGCAGACGGUUACUUAAGCAGGAUGUGAAAUCCCCGGGCUCAACCUGGGAACUGCGUUCUGAACUGGGUGACUAGAGUGUGUCAGAGGGAGGUAGAAUUCCACGUGUAGCAGUGAAAUGCGUAGAGAUGUGGAGGAAUACCGAUGGCGAAGGCAGCCUCCUGGGAUAACACUGACGUUCAUGCUCGAAAGCGUGGGUAGCAAACAGGAUUAGAUACCCUGGUAGUC